rnacentral:sRNA from 1 species
UACAGUGGCUCCAUGGGCCUCAGUGACCACAUUGAGAGAGAGUUGAAUGGCAAAUACAGGAGAAAUGGCUGCAAGGGAAAUUACAGAAUAGAGGACAUCCUGGAGAGGCCUGGAGAGGGGAGAACACAGCCCGGAAGCCCCUCUUCUCUGACCACCCCUGCACUUCUUGCCUUCCCUGCUGAGAGCUGCUCUACCCUUUUUUGCAGGUGCUUUGGCUCUAGCAGACAGGAAGAAAUUCUGGCCCAGCUGGAAGUAGAAAGAGGGGAGUGAGUCUCCUGAGGACCAUCUCAGAGGCCCCGGGAUCACCCAAACAAUGACGGCAACCGCCCAGCCACCCUCCAAGGCCCAGGCUGUCCACAUCUCUGCCCCCUCAGCUGCUGCCAGCACACCUGUGCCCAGUGCCCCCAUCGACCCCCAGGCCCAGCUGGAGGCUGACAAGCGAGCUGUAUACAGGCACCCUCUUUUCCCGCUCCUGACGCUGCUGUUUGAGAAAUGUGAACAGGCCACCCAGGGCUCUGAGUGCAUCACCUCCGCCAGCUUUGAUGUGGACAUCGAGAACUUUGUCCACCAGCAGGAACAGGAGCACAAACC